UGGCUUUGAUCCUUAGUAAGAUGGAAGGUGGGUAGGAGUACACUGAGUCUGACUUAGGAACAAAAAGCUGAAGCAGAAGUGCAGAAAUACUGAUCCUGAUUAACUUUUCCUCUUAAAGAAGUGCAUAGGUCUUUAUUAUAAUUAUAAUUAUAAUUAUUAUGAACAAAAGGGUUUUAAAAGAGUAAAGAUGAAAAAACUACAUCUCUAAUAAAAUGAAAUGAGAAUAAAAUGAAAUGAGGAGGUUGUCAUCUCAACCUCAUUUUCUGCAAUGCCAUAAACUCUGAUGUAAAAUAAUUAACAGAGCCCAAGGAAAAAAAAAUAGAGUCCUAUUUCUAAAUGCUCUGUAAGUAGCACAUAUAUAGAUAUUAGAUGGAAGCAGAUACAGCUAUAACUGCUAUUCUAAUAUGUUGCAACUCAUUCAUACUGAAAGGAACACCAUGAAAUUGUUGUAUAAUGAAUUUGGGUAAAAAUGGCUUUAUCUUGGGAAACACAGAUCCAUUUGUCCUGGACUUUAGUUAAUAUUCACAUUGUUUUGAUGAACUAAAUGACUUCAUAGUCCCAGGACGGCUGACCCCUAGCUAGGGCUGGGAAUUCCCAAACACCAGCCUUCCUGUUCCAGCCAGAAGAGAACUUCCUUUCACCAUCACAAGGUGAUCCAUCCCAUGGUUUUGUCCAAACUCACAGGACAGUUCAGCAACAAAGGUGUAUGUGACCUGAAGUUCAUCAAGGCCAGGACCUCUUUUCUGACAGUAAUCAAUACCAGAAGCACCACUGGGAAGCAUAGAAGUCUGUAGCGGGGAGGAAUGUCCACAGGUUUGGUACCUUUCCCUCCAUAGAGCCCUUCAUUGAAGAUUUCUGCCAUGUGAACAAAGUUUCAUUAACAUUCACUCUCCAG
rnacentral:lncRNA from 1 species